CCUACGGGCGGCAGCAGUGAGGAAUAUUGGUCAAUGGGCGCGAGCCUGAACCAGCCAAGCAGCGUGAAGGAUGACUGCCCUACGGGUUGUAAACUUCUUUUAUAAAGGAAUAAAGUGAGGCACGUGUGCCUUUUUGUAUGUACUUUAUGAAUAAGGAUCGGCUAACUCCGUGCCAGCAGCCGCGGUAAUACGGAGGGUCCGAGCGUUGUCCGGAUUUGUUGGGUGUAAAGGGAGCGUAGAUGGGGUGUUAAGUCAGUUGUGAAAGUUUGCGGCUCAACCGGAAAAUUGCAAUUGAUACUGGCAGACUUGAGUACAGUAGAGGUAGGCGGAAUUCGUGGUGUAGCAGUGAAAUGCGUAGAUAUCACGAAGAACACCGAUGGCGAAGGCAGCUUACUAGACUGCCACUGACACUGAGGCUCGAAAGUGUGGGUAUCAAACAGGAUUAGAUACCCGAGUAGUC
rnacentral:rRNA from 1 species